rnacentral:tRNA from 1 species
GGGUGCUUAGCUCAGUCGGUAGAGCGGCGCCCUUACAAGGCGUAGGUCGGGGGUUCGAGCCCCUCAGCACCCACCA